UCAUCUCCGGGGGUAGAGCACUGUUUCGGCAAGGGGGUCAUCCCGACUUACCAACCCGAUGCAAACUGCGAAUACCGGAGAAUGUUAUCACGGGAGACACACGGCGGGUGCUAACGUCCGUCGUGAAGAGGGAAACAACCCAGACCGCCAGCUAAGGUCCCAAAGUCAUGGUUAAGUGGGAAACGAUGUGGGAAGGCCCAGACAGCCAGGAUGUUGGCUUAGAAGCAGCCAUCAUUUAAAGAAAGCGUAAUAGCUCACUGGUCGAGUCGGCCUGCGCGGAAGAUGUAACGGGGCUAAACCAUGCACCGAAGCUGCGGCAGCGACGCUUAUGCGUUGUUGGGUAGGGGAGCGUUCUGUAAGCCUGUGAAGGUGUGCUGUGAGGCAUGCUGGAGGUAUCAGAAGUGCGAAUGCUGACAUAAGUAACGAUAAAGCGGGUGAAAAGCCCGCUCGCCGGAAGACCAAGGGUUCCUGUCCAACGUUAAUCGGGGCAGGGUGAGUCGACCCCUAAGGCGAGGCCGAAAGGCGUAGUCGAUGGGAAACAGGUUAAUAUUCCUGUACUUGGUGUUACUGCGAAGGGGGGACGGAGAAGGCUAUGUUGGCCGGGCGACGGUUGUCCCGGUUUAAGCGUGUAGGCUGGUUUUCCAGGCAAAUCCGGAAAAUCAAGGCUGAGGCGUGAUGACGAGGCACUACGGUGCUGAAGCAACAAAUGCCCUGCUUCCAGGAAAAGCCUCUAAGCAUCAGGUAACAUCAAAUCGUACCCCAAACCGACACAGGUGGUCAGGUAGAGAAUACCAAGGCGCUUGAGAGAACUCGGGUGAAGGAACUAGGCAAAAUGGUGCCGUAACUUCGGGAGAAGGCACGCUGAUAUGUAGGUGAAGCGACUUGCUCGUGGAGCUGAAAUCAGUCGAAGAUACCAGCUGGCUGCAACUGUUUAUUAAAAACACAGCACUGUGCAAACACGAAAGUGGACGUAUACGGUGUGACGCCUGCCCGGUGCCGGAAGGUUAAUUGAUGGGGUUAGCGCAAGCGAAGCUCUUGAUCGAAGCCCCGGUAAACGGCGGCCGUAACUAUAACGGUCCUAAGGUAGCGAAAUUCCUUGUCGGGUAAGUUCCGACCUGCACGAAUGGCGUAAUGAUGGCCAGGCUGUCUCCACCCGAGACUCAGUGAAAUUGAACUCGCUGUGAAGAUGCAGUGUACCCGCGGCAAGACGGAAAGACCCCGUGAACCUUUACUAUAGCUUGACACUGAACAUUGAGCCUUGAUGUGUAGGAUAGGUGGGAGGCUUAGAAGUGUGGACGCCAGUCUGCAUGGAGCCGACCUUGAAAUACCACCCUUUAAUGUUUGAUGUUCUAACGUUGACCCGUAAUCCGGGUUGCGGACAGUGUCUGGUGGGUAGUUUGACUGGGGCGGUCUCCUCCUAAAGAGUAACGGAGGAGCACGAAGGUUGGCUAAUCCUGGUCGGACAUCAGGAGGUUAGUGCAAUGGCAUAAGCCAGCUUGACUGCGAGCGUGACGGCGCGAGCAGGUGCGAAAGCAGGUCAUAGUGAUCCGGUGGUUCUGAAUGGAAGGGCCAUCGCUCAACGGAUAAAAGGUACUCCGGGGAUAACAGGCUGAUACCGCCCAAGAGUUCAUAUCGACGGCGGUGUUUGGCACCUCGAUGUCGGCUCAUCACAUCCUGGGGCUGAAGUAGGUCCCAAGGGUAUGGCUGUUCGCCAUUUAAAGUGGUACGCGAGCUGGGUUUAGAACGUCGUGAGACAGUUCGGUCCCUAUCUGCCGUGGGCGCUGGAGAACUGAGGGGGGCUGCUCCUAGUACGAGAGGACCGGAGUGGACGCAUCACUGGUGUUCGGGUUGUCAUGCCAAUGGCACUGCCCGGUAGCUAAAUGCGGAAGAGAUAAGUGCUGAAAGCAUCUAAGCACGAAACUUGCCCCGAGAUGAGUUCUCCCUGACCCUUUAAGGGUCCUGAAGGAACGUUGAAGACGACGACGUUGAUAGGCCGGGUGUGUAAGCGCAGCGAUGCGUUGAGCUAACCGGUACUAAUGAACCGUGAGGCUUAACCUUACAACGCCGAAG
rnacentral:rRNA from 1 species